AGUGAACGCUGGCGGUAGGCCUAACACAUGCAAGUCGAACGGCAGCACAGUAAGAGCUUGCUCUUACGGGUGGCGAGUGGCGGACGGGUGAGGAAUACAUCGGAAUCUACUUUUUCGUGGGGGAUAACGUAGGGAAACUUACGCUAAUACCGCAUACGACCUACGGGUGAAAGCAGGGGAUCUUCGGACCUUGCGCGAUUGAAUGAGCCGAUGUCGGAUUAGCUAGUUGGCGGGGUAAAGGCCCACCAAGGCGACGAUCCGUAGCUGGUCUGAGAGGAUGAUCAGCCACACUGGAACUGAGACACGGUCCAGACUCCUAAGGGAGGCAGCAGUGGGGAAUAUUGGACAAUGGGCGCAAGCCUGAUCCAGCCAUACCGCGUGGGUGAAGAAGGCCUUCGGGUUUUAAAGCCCUUUUGUUGGGGAAGAAAAGCAGCAGGUUAAUACCCCGCUGUUCUGACGGUACCCAAAGAAUAAGCACCGGCUAACUUCGUG
rnacentral:rRNA from 1 species